CACCCCCGCUGCGAUGAAUGAAAUGUUUGCUUCGUUUCUCUCGUCAUUCGUUCUCCCGACGCAGCGCAGUCAGGUUCGAACAUGUUCGGUUUCAGAAGUAAAGUGAAUUUUGUUUCUAUGCUAGCACUGAGAGGGAUUAUUGAGCAAAAGAGCACCAGAUAUAGAUUACGCAGUUCAUUUACGCUCGAAAAUGUAGAAGAUGCUAACUUCUGCCUUCAAAUUGUCGACACAAUAACAAAUGAAUGCUUUGGUUGGUGAAUGAAUUUAUAUUUCCUCUGCACUCAAGCAUUCGAUUCUGCAUGAAAUUUCAGUCAGUUUGAAAGUGAAUGAAUGAGGGAGGCGUUGAAUCUGAAUGUCGGUUUCGGUAAAUGCAAGCAGAAAUAGGUAACUGAUUUUGAAAUUUCCUGGCUCUGAUUACUGCCUUGGCUCCUACCAGUUGCUUGCAUGAAAAUAUCGCUGCCUCCACAGUGCUCGUGAUUCCAUCCCAGUAGCAGCUAGCAACCACAAUUCCAGUGCUUAUCGCCAGCAACAUCAGAAAAUUAAGAUUUCCCCUAGACCAUGACCAUCAUCCGACAGAUCGCAACAACGCAACAAGCAACAACGUUCAACUGACGGUAGAACCUGGCCAGCAACCGCAACUAGUGCAAUCGAUCCAAGCCAAUCAGGGCCAAAUGUAGAAGACCAUUGGUCAACCGCAAAAAAAAGAUACAUCAACAGCACCUUCAAACACAGUAGCAGCAGCAUACUGUACUGUACCACGCCGCGUGCAGGAGGACUUUUUUUAUUCAGUUGGUGCAGCAAGAUCGAACAGCAACCAUAGCGGAUACACAUCACCGAACACCAACAACAUAAUGCCAUGGUAACCACCCAGCAGCAGAACACGGUGAUAAUGGGCCAACAGUAAAUACAACAUCAAGAUCCUCGGAAAGGACUUUUUCUUUCGAACAAACAUAAUGGAAGCAUACUCUACACGCGUGACAUAUUCAAUCGGGCCAACCGUGUGACUCGUUUGGAAAAAAGCGCUCAUCAUCGGUUUCAUGGCAGCGAAGUGAGCAGACAAAAGAAGGCGUUUUUUUCCGCAAGGUCGCUCUGGGCAAAAGUUCAGCCAAUUGCAAGGAAUAAACCACCGGAGUGACAGUAUCCGUGCUGUUUGGGACCUUUUUCCAUAUAUUGUAGCUUUUGAAUUUUAAUACCCGGUCGAAACGAUGGCAAGUGCUGCCGAUAACUGGGUCAAAAAGGCGGAGGGAGGAUCAGGAAAUUUCUGCACUCGGUUAUCGAUCUGAGUAUCCCUAAGGAUAAGGAACCAGAGCCGGCGGCUGACAGCCCAAAGAAAGAGAAUGCGGAAAAACCUUCUAGUUCACCGCCAGUAGAACCAGCGAUCAAAUUACUCCCGUAGAAACGGCUGCACCUGCAGUUUUGUUUUCGGUAGCUACAGAAAUUAAGACUUUAGCAGCUCCUGAAGAAAAAAAAGCUGCUAGCGAAAAUGGAGAAACAGCUUCCUCCACGGAAGAUUCAGAGGCAUUCAACCCGGCGGAUGCAAGUUUGCUAAUUAAACUUAUUCGCAAAGGUCUAGUAGAAUCAAAGCUGGAUCUGGGGGUGAAGGAUCCUUCUUCGCCGCUAUACUUGGUUAAAACUUUCGAAGCUUUGCACAUGAAUUCGGAACUGCUUCAGGGAGUCUAUGCUAUGGGUUUCAACGCUCCUUCCAAGAUUCAGAAGACGGCUCAACCUACUCUGUUGGCCGAUCCGCCACAGAACAAUCGCCCAGAGUUGGUCGGGAACAAGAAAAACCACUGCCUUCGUGCUGGCAAUGCUCAAUCGAGUCGAUCCGUUGAAAAAUUAUCCGCAGGUGAUUUGCCUUUCCCCACGUAUGAACUGGCAAUUCAGAAGGGGAAAGUAGCUGCAAAACGGCAAAGUUUUGUGCGGAAAUCGAACUUGGUUAAACCGUUCGUGGUGAGAAGAUCGUCAAAGGGGCGAAGCUGACUAAUCAUAUCAUCAUCGGAACAGCCGGGCGUUCGACCUUAAGAAGAUUGCAAUUUUUGUACCGGACGAGGCGGGCGUUAUGAUCGCUGUUCUUUUUAGCCACGUACGAGCGGGAGGUGAUGGGAUUCGCCCAGUACAUCGUAACCAAUCCGAUCAUGAUUCUUCUGGUGCGGGAGCAAGAAUCACUCGAUAACACCAAACACUACUACGUCAAAUGCCGCAACCAGGACGAGAAAUAUCAAGCAAUUUCAAACAUGUACGGUGUGAUUACCGUCGGACAAGCGAUCAUUUUCUGUCAUAUGAUGUAUAGGACAGUUGUAAACUCCAAGUAAACUUAUUUUCGGCAUUGUUAAUCGAUCGAAACAGGCACGCAAAACGGCCGGUUGGACCAGGAUAAUCACUCAGUAGCGGUACUGUCCGGUGAUCUAACGGCGGAGCAACGGUUGGCCGUUCUGGAUCGAUCCUGAGCCGGACUAGAGAAGGUAUUGAUUGCAACGAACGUUUUGUCUAGGGGUAUCGAUGUUGAACAGGUGACCAUUGUUAUCAACUUCGACCUGCCGAUGGAUUAGCAGGGACGAGCCGAUUGCGAAACGUAUCUACAUCGAAUUAGACGCACCGGUAGAUUCGAACGGAAUCACCAUCAACCUAGUGGGCAGUGAUCGAAGCAUGAUGAUUUGCAGAUCAAUCGAAAAACACUUCCGGAAAAAGAUUCAGUUGCUAGACGCGGAGAACUCGGACGAAAUUGAAAAGAUCGCACCGUAAAGUGUUUUCGACCAGCUACUGGUGAAAGGCAUAGGAGCUUUUUUGGGUCAUACUUGUUAUGAUUCUGAAUUUAUAAUUUUAUUAAUUUUUUUUUCUUCCUUGACCUGACAUAUGUAACCAACAGGGUAAUAAAUUUACAAUUAAAAUUACAAUUUCUCGAGUACUUUUACAAAUGGACGUAAGUAACAUUGAGAGCCUCUCUUUGUUUACUUUCUCUUUCGUUUAUUACGACAUCAUUACAACACUUUGCACUAAUUUUCCAGU